UACGUAGGGUGCAAGCGUUGUCCGGAAUUAUUGGGCGUAAAGAGCUCGUAGGCGGUCUGUCGCGUCGGCUGUGAAAACCCGGGGCUCAACCCCGGGCCUGCAGUCGAUACGGGCAGACUAGAGUGCGGUAGGGGAGACUGGAAUUCCUGGUGUAGCGGUGAAAUGCGCAGAUAUCAGGAGGAACACCGGUGGCGAAAGGCGGGUCUCUGGGCCGUAACUGACGCUGAGGAGCGAAAGCGUGGGGAGCGAACAGG
rnacentral:rRNA from 1 species